ACCCAGCUGACGAGUCCGAAACAAAACGAAACGCGCGUCAUAGAU
rfam:Schistosoma rodhaini strain Burundi genome assembly, scaffold: SROB_scaffold0002844